CGGAGGGUGCAAGCGUUAUCCGGAUUCACUGGGUUUAAAGGGUGCGUAGGCGGGCAGGUAAGUCCGUGGUGAAAUCUCUGAGCUUAACUCAGAAACUGCCAUGGAUACUAUUUGUCUUGAAUGUUGUGGAGGUAAGCGGAAUAUGUCAUGUAGCGGUGAAAUGCUUAGAUAUGACAUAGAACACCAAUUGCGAAGGCAGCUUACUACACAAAUAUUGACGCUGAGGCACGAAAGCGUGGGGAUCAAACAGGAUUAGAUACCCUGGUAGUCCACGCCCUAAACGAUGAUUACUCGACAUCAGCGAUACACUGUUGGUGUCUGAGCGAAAGCAUUAAGUAAUCCACCUGGGAAGUACGAUCGCAAGAUUG
rnacentral:rRNA from 1 species